rnacentral:rRNA from 1 species
GAAUUUAAUAAAUUAUUAUAAUAAAGGUUAGGUGUAGUAUUUAUUUAUAAGGAUUUAUUUUAUUGGGAUAAUUAUUAGAUUUAAGGAAUUUUAAUAUAUAUUAAGGAUAUAGAUUAAUGGGGAAUGUUUAAAGAGUGGUUUAUAAGUUUAAGUAGAAUUAAUUACCUUAGGGAUAACAGCGUAAUAUCUUUAGAGAGAUCAUAUUAAUAAAGGUGAUUGC